rnacentral:rRNA from 1 species
GUUAGUGGCGGACGGGUGAGUAACGCGUGAGAAUCUGCCCUCAGGAGGGGGAUAACGGCUGGAAACGGCCGCUAAUACCCCAUAUGCCGAGAGGUGAAAUGAAUUUCGCCUGAGGAUGAGCUCGCGUCUGAUUAGCUAGUUGGUGGGGUAAGAGCCUACCAAGGCUUCGAUCAGUAGCUGGUCUGAGAGGAUGAUCAGCCACACUGGGACUGAGACACGGCCCAGACUCCUACGGGAGGCAGCAGUGGGGAAUUUUCCGCAAUGGGCGAAAGCCUGACGGAGCAACGCCGCGUGAGGGAUGAAGGCCUCUGGGCUGUAAACCUCCUUUAUCAAGGAAGAAGAUCUGACGGUACUUGAUGAAUAAGCCACGGCUAAUUCCGUGCCAGCAGCCGCGGUAAUACGGGAGUGGCAAGCGUUAUCCGGAAUUAUUGGGCGUAAAGCGUCCGCAGGCGGCCUCGUAAGUCUGUCGUUAAAGCGUGGAGCUUAACUCCAUUUCGGCGAUGGAAACUGUGAGGCUUGAGUGUGGUAGGGGCAGAGGGAAUUCCCGGUGUAGCGGUGAAAUGCGUAGAUAUCGGGAAGAACACCAGUGGCGAAGGCGCUCUGCUGGGCCAUAACUGACGCUCAUGGACGAAAGCCAGGGGAGCGAAAGGGAUUAGAUACCCCUGUAGUCCUGGCCGUAAACGAUGAACACUAGGUGUCGG